UCCGUAGGUGAACCUGCGGAGGGAUCAUUACCGAGUUUACAACUCCCAAACCCCUGUGAACAUACCUUAAUGUUGCCUCGGCGGAUCAGCCCGCGCCCCGUAAAACGGGACGGCCCGCCAGAGGACCCAAACUCUAAUGUUUCUUAUUGUAACUUCUGAGUAAAACAAACAAAUAAAUCAAAACUUUCAACAACGGAUCUCUUGGUUCUGGCAUCGAUGAAGAACGCAGCAAAAUGCGAUAAGUAAUGUGAAUUGCAGAAUUCAGUGAAUCAUCGAAUCUUUGAACGCACAUUGCGCCCGCUGGUAUUCCGGCGGGCAUGCCUGUUCGAGCGUCAUUUCAACCCUCAAACCCCCGGGUUUGGUGUUGGGGAUCGGCUCUGCCUCACGGCGGUGCCGCCCCCGAAAUACAUUGGCGGUCUCGCUGCAGCCUCCAUUGCGUAGUAGCUAACACCUCGCAACUGGAACGCGGCGCGGCCAUGCCGUAAAACCCCAACUUCUGAAUGUUGACCUCGGAUCAGGUAGGAAUACCCGCUGAACUUAAGCAUAUCAAUAAGCGGAGGA
rnacentral:rRNA from 1 species